UACGUAGGGUGCGAGCGUUGUCCGGAAUUAUUGGGCGUAAAGGGCUCGUAGGCGGUCUGUUGCGUCGGGAGUGAAAACUCAGGGCUUAACCCUGAGCCUGCUUCCGAUACGGGCAGACUAGAGGUAUGCAGGGGAGAACGGAAUUCCUGGUGUAGCGGUGAAAUGCGCAGAUAUCAGGAGGAACACCGGUGGCGAAGGCGGUUCUCUGGGCCGAUACUGACGCUGAGGAGCGAAAGCGUGGGGAGCAAACAGG
rnacentral:rRNA from 1 species